rnacentral:rRNA from 1 species
GACGAACGCUGGCGGCGUGCUUAACACAUGCAAGUCGAACGGAAAGGCCCUGCUUUUGUGGGGUGCUCGAGUGGCGAACGGGUGAGUAACACGUGAGUAACCUGCCCUUGACUUUGGGAUAACUUCAGGAAACUGGGGCUAAUACCGGAUAGGAGCUCCUGCUGCAUGGUGGGGGUUGGAAAGUUUCGGCGGGUGGGGAUGGACUCGCGGCUUAUCAGCUUGUUGGUGGGGUAGUGGCUUACCAAGGCUUUGACGGGUAGCCGGCCUGAGAGGGUGACCGGCCACAUUGGGACUGCGAUACGGCCCAGACUCCUACGGGAGGCAGCAGUGGGGAAUAUUGCCCAAUGGGCGGAAGCCUGAUGCAGCAACGCCGCGUGCGGGAUGACGGCCUUCGGGUUGUAAACCGCUUUCGCCUGUGACGAAGCGUGAGUGACGGUAAUGGGUAAAGAAGCACCGGCUAACUACGUG